CUGCGAAUGGCUCAUUAAAUCAGUUAUCGUUUAUUUGAUAGUACCUUACUACUUGGAUAACCGUGGUAAUUCUAGAGCUAAUACAUGCUAAAAACCUCGACUUCGGAAGGGGUGUAUUUAUUAGAUAAAAAACCAAUGCCCUUCGGGGCUCCUUGGUGAUUCAUAAUAACUUAACGAAUCGCAUGGCCUUGUGCCGGCGAUGGUUCAUUCAAAUUUCUGCCCUAUCAACUUUCGAUGGUAGGAUAGUGGCCUACCAUGGUUUCAACGGGUAACGGGGAAUUAGGGUUCUAUUCCGGAGAGGGAGCCUGAGAAACGGCUACCACAUCCAAGGAAGGCAGCAGGCGCGCAAAUUACCCAAUCCCGACGCGGGGAGGUAGUGACAAUAAAUACUGAUACAGGACUCUUUUGGGUCUUGUAAUUGGAAUGAGUACAAUUUAAAUCCCUUAACGAGGAACAAUUGGAGGGCAAGUCUGGUGCCAGCAGCCGCGGUAAUUCCAGCUCCAAUAGCGUAUAUUAAAGUUGUUGCAGUUAAAAAGCUCGUAGUUGAACCUUGGGCCUGGCUGGCCGGUCCGCCUCACCGCGUGCACUGGUCCGGCCGGGCCUUUCCUUCUGGGGAGCCGCAUGCCCUUCACUGGGUGUGUCGGGGAACCAGGACUUUUACUUUGAAAAAAUUAGAGUGUUCAAAGCAGGCCUAUGCUCGAAUACAUUAGCAUGGAAUAAUAGAAUAGGACGUGUGGUUCUAUUUUGUUGGUUUCUAGGACCGCCGUAAUGAUUAAUAGGGAUAGUCGGGGGCAUCAGUAUUCAAUUGUCAGAGGUGAAAUUCUUGGAUUUAUUGAAGACUAACUACUGCGAAAGCAUUUGCCAAGGAUGUUUUCAUUAAUCAGUGAACGAAAGUUAGGGGAUCGAAGACGAUCAGAUACCGUCGUAGUCUUAACCAUAAACUAUGCCGACUAGGGAUCGGGCGGUGUUACUUUUUUGACCCGCUCGGCACCUUACGAGAAAUC
rnacentral:rRNA from 1 species